CGGUGCACAUGCAGAGGAUAUUUCUUCUUUAGAAAAAAAAAACUCAAUAAUCAAAGCCAAUAAAAAAAAAGACAAGUGUCCCUCAUGUAGAGGGACAUAAACAACAAAAGACCAAAGUCUCUCUUCUUCUUCUCUAAACAUGCAGUACCAAGUACCAGAAAAGAUUUUUUUAAAAAAAAUCAAUGCUUUUAAUUAAUUCCUUCUCUCUCUUAAAUCUCAUGUUAUAAUAAGAAGAAACAAAAAUUCUAAUAAUGAUCUAACAUUUCAAUGACUUUUCAAAAGUAGUAAUAGCAAUGUAACAUUUUUUUAUUUCCAUAUGACUUAAGUAAUUUUUAGAACAUAAAACUCUUUCAACAAUCACUUUUAUUCUUUAUGUUUAAGCUCCUUUAACAGCAAAAUAAAAAUCCAAAAUACACAAAUCAACAUUUGACUAUGUAAUCUUAAACAAACACAAACAAGAAAUAACCAUGAAAUCAAAGGAAAAGUAUAAGGAUAUAACCUAUGUGUUCAGAUCGGACGGUGAGAGGGCUUGAAAUCGUGUUCGUCGUAUUUUUCACGGUCGGAAGAAAAUACAGUGGUUUUGGAGAGUAUGGGAGGUUGGAGCAGUGGCUUCCCGACGGUGUUGUGGUGUUUUUUUUUUUGUGUGUAUGAAGUUGUUUAUGUUAGAGAGAAAAGAGCAUGAUGUGUGUGUAUGGUUCUUUGUUGGUGAAGUGAAGUUUUUUGUGUGUGAAAGCAAAGAAGUGUUUCUUAGUUUACUGCAACUUUUCUUUUUUUAAUGGAAUAAAACUAAUGAU
rnacentral:lncRNA from 1 species